AAGAGCCGUGUGAAGGGAAACUUUCAAGCACGGUUCUGUGAGGAGGGAGGACUGGUAACAAUCCAACCUUACUCGAC
rnacentral:ncRNA from 1 species